CCUACGGGUGGCAGCAGUGGGGAAUAUUGCUCAAUGGGCGCAACCCUGACGCAGCAACGCCGCGUGAAGGAAGAAGGCUUUCGGGUUGUAAACUUCUUUUCUGAGGGAAGAAAAUGACGGUAGCUCCUCAAGAAUCACCGGCUAACUACGUGCCAGCAGCCGCGGUAAUACGGAGGAGGUAAGCGUGAUUCGGAUUCACUGGGCGUAAAGAGUGCGGAGGCGGGAGUGUAAGUCAGAUGUGAAAUCCUGGAGCUUAACCACGGAACUGCAUUUGAAACUAUGGUUCUAGAGUGCGGGAGAGGUAAGUGGAAUUCUUGGUGUAGGGGUGAAAUGCGUAGAUAUAAAGAGGAACACUAGUGGCGAAGGCGACUUACUGGAAAGUAACUGACGCUGAGGCACGAAAGCGUGGGGAGCAAACAGGAUUAGAUACCCUGGUAGUC
rnacentral:rRNA from 1 species